AGAGCUUGCUCAGAUAUGACGAUGGACAUUGCAAAGAGUGGCGAACGGGUGAGUAACACGUGGGAAACCUACCUCUUAGCAGGGGAUAACAUUUGGAAACAGAUGCUAAUACCGUAUAACAAUAGCAACCGCAUGGUUGCUACUUAAAAGAUGGUUCUGCUAUCACUAAGAGAUGGUCCCGCGGUGCAUUAGUUAGUUGGUGAGGUAAUGGCUCACCAAGACGAUGAUGCAUAGCCGAGUUGAGAGACUGAUCGGCCACAAUGGGACUGAGACACGGCCCAUACUCCUACGGGAGGCAGCAGUAGGGAAUCUUCCACAAUGGGCGAAAGCCUGAUGGAGCAACGCCGCGUGUGUGAUGAAGGGUUUCGGCUCGUAAAACACUGUUGUAAGAGAAGAAUGACAUUGAGAGUAACUGUUCAAUGUGUGACGGUAUCUUACCAGAAAGGAACGGCUAAAUACGUGCCAGCAGCCGCGGUAAUACGUAUGUUCCAAGCGUUAUCCGGAUUUAUUGGGCGUAAAGCGAGCGCAGACGGUUAUUUAAGUCUGAAGUGAAAGCCCUCAGCUCAACUGAGGAAUUGCUUUGGAAACUGGAUGACUUGAGUGCAGUAGAGGAAAGUGGAACUCCAUGUGUAGCGGUGAAAUGCGUAGAUAUAUGGAAGAACACCAGUGGCGAAGGCGGCUUUCUGGACUGUAACUGACGUUGAGGCUCGAAAGUGUGGGUAGCAAACAGGAUUAGAUACCCUGGUAGUCCACACCGUAAACGAUGAGUGCUAGGUGUUUGAGGGUUUCCGCCUUAAAUGCC
rnacentral:rRNA from 1 species